UCUCAACCGCUUGGAAAGGGCUUAUGUCAAACUGCUUUUUCUGAGUGUUUGCUGCGAGUGGGUUGAGAGCAGCUGGGUUUGGUAGCCGAGGACCCUGAUGGGCGGGGGCGUCGAGCGGGAGGCAGCCUGCACGUGAUGGACAAAAUUCCCGUCCAAAGACCAAAGCACCUUUGAGCAUUAUCUGCAGUAUUCCGCCAUUUGCACACAUAC
rnacentral:lncRNA from 1 species